rnacentral:rRNA from 1 species
GUAGGGAAUAUUGCACAAUGGAGGAAACUCUGAUGCAGCGACGCCGCGUGAGUGAUGAAGGCCUUCGGGUCGUAAAGCUCUGUCGCAGGGGAAUAACACAAUGAAGGUACCCUGUAAGAAAGGAUCGGCUAACUUCGUGCCAGCAGCCGCGGUAAGACGAGGGAUCCUAGCGUUGUUCGGAAUCAUUGGGCGUAAAGCGGAUGUAGGUGGCUAUGUAAGUCAGAUGGGAAAGCCUGGGGCUCAACCCCAGAAGUGCAUUUGAUACUGCGUAGCUUGAGUGUCGGAGAGGUUACUAGAAUUGUUGGUGUAGUGGUGAAAUACGUAGAUAUCAACAGGAAUACCGGAGGCGAAGGCGGGUAACUGGCCGAACACUGACACUGAGAUCCGAAAGCGUGGGGAUCAAACAGGAUUAGAUACCCCGGUAGUCC